AAUUAUCACAGAAGAAAAAACAAAAUUAUUGUAUAUUGCAGUAAAUGUAUAUCAUGGUCUCGGAUAUAAUAUAAAAUACUUAAUUCCAGAGCACCUGUCUUCAAAUAUCACAGCGAUUGAUUACCCUGAUAUUCUAAGAGUAGAUAUUUUUAUAAAACUUAAAAUAAAUCAUUCAUAAAAUAUAAAAAUGUGUUCAUACUUAAGCUCAAAAUGUAACAAUAGUCAUGGAAAGGCAGUUAUAUCAAGUCUUAUAGAAAAUCACAUAAGUAAUUUACAUUAGUGUUAACGCGAGUAUUAUAUAUAAGUAAAUUUAUACAAUAAAGGAUACCAUUAAUGCAGUCAUUCAUUAAAUGUAAAUAAAACUUAUAUAUACUUAUAUAUACAUAUAUAUGUAUAUAUAUAUAUAUAUAAAAUAGAAACUUAUUUCGAGUAAGUAGCAUUCAGUUCUUUAUAAUUUUAUAUAAAAUUCUGGUUUUUCGUAUCACUAAUAAAUAAACUUUGGUGAAUUAUAAUAACUGUAGAAUCAUGAAUAUCACUUGGUUGGAUAUGAAUGUUUAAUCUUGAAUUU